AACAAAUGUUAAUAAAGGAGAAUCAGUGGCGCCAUCUACGCAUGAAGUUCGUCAUUAAUCAUGUCCACACGACAGUGGAACUCGAACAUCGCGUAUCGAGAAUUUGUAUUAAUUGCGUAGCGGCAUAAUAACGGUGUGUUCGUUUAUGGAAAGUACGUAUCAAGCAUUGAAUCUUUGACGAGGCGCGUUUCUUAUUUAGGCUUCGUUUUCACUAGCAUUGUAGACCAGAAAAUGGCACGGCCAUUUGUUGCGUACAGACGCGAAUCUUUCGCCUUUUAUAUUCAUGUUGGAUAAGGAAAGUCAUGGUACAAUAAGUAUGAAACAUGUUAUUUCAAAAUAUCGUUGUACUACGCAGAUAGAUGUAGUUCUGUGACCUGCGGUUGUAUGGGACUGCAUUAUCGAGUCGAAGAGAAGGCGUAAGCGGUUUUAAUCGGUUUGAAAUCGUGCGAGGUCACACCACUCGUUUAUACGUUUAUCCAAGACGAGCGAAUAAAGGCUUGGUAAAAUGUAGCAAAGAUUUGUAUAUAACUAUGCAAUUAAUGAAACUUGACAAUUUGAUGACGUCACAGGAGCACAGAAUCGCUAUGUCAUAUCAAUCAAGAGUAAUAUAUGUAGAAAGCCGAAUCAUAAAAACGUUAAAAUGAUUUUUAGAAAUGUCAUAAAUUUUGUAAUAUGAAGAUACAGAGAUAUAAAACGCAAAUGUCAAAAGUAAAAUGCUGGCAGUGCGUGAGGAAAAUGUGAUCAAUACUUUACCAAGUACUUCAAGUUAAGAAUUCGUGUGAACGUAUGUGCGGAGAGUAGAGGCG